rnacentral:rRNA from 1 species
GUUAGACGAACGGUCUGGAAAGUCCGACGAUACAGGGUGAUAGUCCCGUAGUUGACGACGUGUGUUCAGUGAAAUCGAGUAGGGCGGGACACGUGAUAUCCUGUCUGAAUAUGGGGGGACCAUCCUCCAAGGCUAAAUACUACUGACUGACCGAUAGUGAACCAGUACCGUGAGGGAAAGGCGAAAAGAACCCCUGUGAGGGGAGUGAAAUAGAACCUGAAACCGUGUACGUACAAGCAGUAGGAGCAGGCUUUGUCCUGUGACUGCGUACCUUUUGUAUAAUGGGUCAGCGACUUAUAUUCAGUGGCAAGGUUAACCAUCUAGGGGAGCCGUAGGGAAACCGAGUCUUAACUGGGCGUUCAGUCUCUGGAUAUAGACCCGAAACCAGGUGAUCUAGCCAUGGGCAGGUUGAAGGUUGAGUAACAUCAACUGGAGGACCGAACCGACUAAUGUUGAAAAAUUAGCGGAUGACUUGUGGCUAGGGGUGAAAGGCCAAUCAAACCUGGAGAUAGCUGGUUCUCCCCGAAAGCUAUUUAGGUAGCGCCUCGGACGAAUACUACUGGGGGUAGAGCACUGUUAAGGCUAGGGGGUCAUCCCGACUUACCAACCCUUUGCAAACUCCGAAUACCAGUAAGUACUAUCCGGGAGACACACGGCGGGUGCUAACGUCCGUCGUGGAGAGGGAAACAACCCAGACCGCCAGCUAAGGUCCCAAAUUACUACUAAGUGGGAAACGAUGUGGGAAGGCUCAGACAGCCAGGAUGUUGGCUUAGAAGCAGCCAUCAUUUAAAGAAAGCGUAAUAGCUCACUGGUCGAGUCGGCCUGCGCGGAAGAUGUAACGGGGCUAAGUAGUAAACCGAAGCUGCGGCAAUGUGCUUUUGCACAUUGGGUAGGGGAGCGUUCUGUAAGCGGUUGAAGGUGUGUGGUAACGCAUGCUGGACGUAUCAGAAGUGCGAAUGCUGACAUGAGUAACGAUAAAGGGGGUGAAAAACCUCCUCGCCGGAAGACCAAGGGUUCCUGUCCAACGUUAAUCGGGGCAGGGUAAGUCGACCCCUAAGGCGAGGCCGAAAGGCGUAGUCGAUGGGAAACGGGUUAAUAUUCCCGUACUUCUUACAAUUGCGAUGGGGGGACGGAGAAGGCUAGGUGGGCCUGGCGACGGUUGUCCAGGUUCAAGUGCGUAGGCUUAAGAGUUAGGUAAAUCCGGCUCUUUUUAAGGCUGAGACACGACGUCGAGCACCUACGGGUGUGAAGUCAUUGAUGCCAUGCUUCCAGGAAAAGCCUCUAAGCUUCAGAUUGUAAGGAAUCGUACCCCAAACCGACACAGGUGGUCGGGUAGAGAAUACCAAGGCGCUUGAGAGAACUCGGGUGAAGGAACUAGGCAAAAUGGUACCGUAACUUCGGGAGAAGGUACGCUCUUGAUGGUGAAGUCCCUCGCGGAUGGAGCUGACGAGAGUCGCAGAUACCAGGUGGCUGCAACUGUUUAUUAAAAACACAGCACUGUGCAAAAUCGUAAGAUGACGUAUACGGUGUGACGCCUGCCCGGUGCCGGAAGGUUAAUUGAUGGGGUUAGACUUCGGUCGAAGCUCUUGAUCGAAGCCCCGGUAAACGGCGGCCGUAACUAUAACGGUCCUAAGGUAGCGAAAUUCCUUGUCGGGUAAGUUCCGACCUGCACGAAUGGCGUAAUGAUGGCCACGCUGUCUCCACCCGAGACUCAGUGAAAUUGAAAUCGCUGUGAAGAUGCAGUGUACCCGCGGCUAGACGGAAAGACCCCGUGAACCUUUACUACAGCUUGGCACUGAACAUUGACCCUACAUGUGUAGGAUAGGUGGGAGGCUUUGAAGCACGUACGCCAGUAUGUGUGGAGCCGUCCUUGAAAUACCACCCUUGUAGUGUUGAUGUUCUAACGUCGACCCCUUAUCGGGGUUGCGGACAGUGCCUGGUGGGUAGUUUGACUGGGGCGGUCUCCUCCCAAAGAGUAACGGAGGAGCACGAAGGUGGGCUAAUCACGGUUGGACAUCGUGAGGUUAGUGCAAUGGCAUAAGCCCGCUUGACUGCGAGAAUGACAAUUCGAGCAGGUGCGAAAGCAGGUCAUAGUGAUCCGGUGGUUCUGAAUGGAAGGGCCAUCGCUCAACGGAUAAAAGGUACUCCGGGGAUAACAGGCUGAUACCGCCCAAGAGUUCAUAUCGACGGCGGUGUUUGGCACCUCGAUGUCGGCUCAUCACAUCCUGGGGCUGAAGUCGGUCCCAAGGGUAUGGCUGUUCGCCAUUUAAAGUGGUACGCGAGCUGGGUUUAGAACGUCGUGAGACAGUUCGGUCCCUAUCUGCCGUGGGCGUUGGAAGAUUGAAGGGGGCUGCUCCUAGUACGAGAGGACCGGAGUGGACGAACCUCUGGUGUUCGGGUUGUGUCGCCAGACGCAUUGCCCGGUAGCUAAGUUCGGAAUCGAUAACCGCUGAAAGCAUCUAAGCGGGAAGCGAGCCCUGAGAUGAGUCUUCCCUGAUACUUUAAGUAUCCUAAAGGGUUGUCGGAGACUACGACGUUGAUAGGUCAGGUGUGUAAGUGCUGUGAGGCAUUGAGCUAACUGAUACUAAUUGCCCGUGAGGCUUAACCAU